UACAGAAGAGGUAUCAUCAUUGAUGACCAAGCUGAUUGGCUCUAGUGCAUAUGGGAGAUUGUUGGAAAUGUGCCAUAAAACCAAUCAUAUGAUGAUACAUUACAAACAUUUCACAUGUUAAACUAAUAUAGUUUAAUGUCAAGGGCAAAGAUUAUUGUUUGAAGCCAUCUCAUAUAAAUGUUAUACGCUUAAACGAUAAGUCCAAGGAAUAUGUAAUUGGGAGAAUGCGAUCUAAAGAAGUUAGAUUCAUGAGACCAUUAUCUUCCGUGUACAUAUCCUAAACGUUCCUGAUCAUAGGAUUGCAAAUUGAGCAUUGACAGUCCGUUAAGAUCAGUACGUGUUAUGUCUUCUCUUAGGGAGAGUGAUUGGUCUCGAGUCAUUGAUGUGACUGACACCAAGACAAGCAUGUAGGUGCUCAAUAGAGAAUGAGUCCACUGAACACGAUCAA
rnacentral:lncRNA from 1 species